rnacentral:misc_RNA from 1 species
UAAUAAGUGUUUUAUGGCACUUUUUAAAUCCAUAUCCACCUUGUGUGUGCAAUGUCAGUCGAUCUUCUUCAUGGAGAUCGACCAAACAUCAACCUUUAUCUUUUAACUCUUUGUCUGAAAAAUAUUAUGAAUAAACAAUUCAAAAUA